GUCCAGGGGCGGGAAUCGAACCCACAACGUUCAGCUUACCGGGCAGAUGCCAUGUCCACUAGGCUACCCUGGA